UUUGGGGGCCCUUAGUGGGUUUUGCAGCCUCCAGCCGUCAGAGGCAGCACCGAGCGCAAACGCACGCACCGGAUUCUCCACGCGUAAGCGUCACAACACCUUGUUUCUUAGGUGUUUCUUUGUUUUUUUGGAAAAAUCACUCGAGAAACUGUUGUUUUGUUGAUUUGCUUUUACACGAUCCCCCUCGCUCGCACGUGGCUGCCGCAACUAUCUCCACAUCCAUGGAUGGUUCCACUAAGAGUUGGAUCUUCCCGAUUUUCUCGAGGGGAACGUUCCCAGUCUACAUAAUACGCUCUAGUCACGCAAUGCUGUGUGUGCAAACCUCCAGCAACUGUUCAACCCCAGCACACAAGAAAGCCAUCAAGUACCUGCAAUUGACAGAAUCGCGUGCAAUUCAGUUACUCCUGGAUUGUACUGGAGCGCAGCCAAAUGGGGAGUUGUGGAAAAGGUGGAGUGGAGCCUCACCUGCUUCAAAUGAAACCCAGUCUCUCGUUGUGGACCAGACUCCAGUCCUUGUUUUAAGGUUUCAGGGAAGCUAUGAUUCCAGAAAUACAAGCAAGCCUGGAGGUGGUUAGGACAUGAAAGUGAGAUCUGAUGGAGGGACCAGGGACCAGGGACCAGCACCGAACUGGACCCUGAACGAGAACCAUCUUCUUUGAGUACUAGUAUUUUUUUUACGCACGGAUUCUGUGGACGCACCAAGGAGGAUUAACUACUGACAUAACAUCAGUGACCCGCGUGAAGUUAUUAUUAUUAUUUGUCAAAAAAACAACAACAACAAAACAAAACAAAAAGUGAUCACAAUGGCAACCGCUGCAGGAUUCUACAGUCGGCCUGUGUGUGAGGCUCGUCCUGGUGGAUUUAAGGAAAUACUUUGUCUCACGCGGGACGAGCGGUGUCUCUGUCUCUGUCUCCGGCUGCCCAGCGUCUGUCGCUGGACAAGCAGCGUGUCGGACAGACGAGUCUCUUGGGGGGAAGUUCACGCGUGUUCAUUUGCAGCCCAGUGUUACAGAGGGGCUCUGAUAUAGUUUUUGGAGAUGCGUCGAUUGUGGCACGCGAGAAGGAAUAUCGUGGAAUAUAUUUUGGAUGUGAUGCUCGGCAGAUGUUCAGCGAUCUUUGGAAGAUGACGGCACGCGACAACUCAUCAAACAGUGAAGGAAUCCAAAUUCCUGGAAUUAGACGUCAACCUUUACUUGCUUCACAGGAAUAUUCUGAUGAUCUCAGAUGAGCACCAAGAAGGGGCUGACUAAUGGAAACCCGAUCUCAAGAAAUUCAACAGGAUCACACUAAAUCCUGGCGUUGGACGGCAGACCAGCAUCCCCUGCAGCAGAUGUUUGCUCCUGGCAUAGCUGCUGACAACAGCAGCUCCAUCACUGACGACCUUGGACGCAGAGAAGCUCUGACAUAAUCUCAGCAGGACAGCAGAGAGGGUAUUCUGCCACUCAGACUUUAGUCAGUCCCAUUUGUGGAGAUGCUUGACAGGAAAGCCUAAUCAAUGAAUGUGCCUUAACCAACGUUGCUGGUAAUGGAUCUACAUAUUAUGUGACUUUGUCUCAAUGGAGCUGGGAUUAAUAUUUCCAAUUUUCCAGUAGCCAGUGCUUUUUCACACUGUUCAAACACGGUACUGUCGUUUGUGACAUUUACUGUGUUAUUCUGGGACAAGUAUCAACAAGUGCUGGAACUGUAAAUGGAAAAUAAUCAGACGGUACUUUCCUGUUUUCAGACUAUAUUUGCAAAGUGCCCUUUUGCUUACACCAAAGCAGGCGCGCACACAAGGUUUAUCUUGUGAAAAGAACAAUAAAUAUCUCCUGUGGUGUAAAACAAAUUGAUACUCCUUCAACCAAGAUUCCGCAGAUGCAUUACUGCACCUUAAUCGUCUGACAUCUUCUAAUGACAAUCACAAAGAACCCAUUAUCGUCGCAGUGUUAAUGAAUGCAAACCAAAAAACUCUCCUACCAACACUGCAUUUCAGUGUGACACAUUGGCACUCUGUGUGUGGUUAAUGAUCCUGUCAGUAUGCUUAUUUUGAUGAUGAUUUAUGGCUCCUCAACUCUUGUGUCUUUGAAAGCCUAUGUGCAGAAAUAAAAACACAAUAUCCAA